GAUGAACGCUGGCGGCGUGCCUAAUACAUGCAAGUCGAGCGAACAGACGAGGAGCUUGCUCCUCUGACGUUAGCGGCGGACGGGUGAGUAACACGUGGAUAACCUACCUAUAAGACUGGGAUAACUUCGGGAAACCGGAGCUAAUACCGGAUAAUAUAUUGAACCGCAUGGUUCAAUAGUGAAAGACGGUUUUGCUGUCACUUAUAGAUGGAUCCGCGCCGCAUUAGCUAGUUGGUAAGGUAAAGGCUUACCAAGGCAACGAUGCGUAGCCGACCUGAGAGGGUGAUCGCCCACACUGGAACUGAGACACGGUCCAGACUCCUACGGGAGGCAGCAGUAGGGAAUCUUCCGCAAUGGGCGAAAGCUUGACGGAGCAACGCCGCGUGAGUGAUGAAGGUCUUCGGAUCGUAAAACUCUGUUAUUAGGGAAGAACAAAUAUGUAAGUAACUAUGCACGUCUUGACGGUACCUAAUCAGAAAGCCACGGCUAACUACGUG
rnacentral:rRNA from 1 species